rnacentral:rRNA from 1 species
CGAUAGCCGAAGCUAAACAUGCAGUCGAGCGGUAGCACAGAGAGCUUGCUCUCGGGUGACGAGCGGCGGACGGGUGAGUAAUGUCUGGGAAACUGCCUGAUGGAGGGGGAUAACUACUGGAAACGGUAGCUAAUACCGCAUAACGUCGCAAGACCAAAGUGGGGGACCUUCGGGCCUCAUGCCAUCAGAUGUGCCCAGAUGGGAUUAGCUAGUAGGUGGGGUAACGGCUCACCUAGGCGACGAUCCCUAGCUGGUCUGAGAGGAUGACCAGCCACACUGGAACUGAGACACGGUCCAGACUCCUACGGGAGGCAGCAGUGGGGAAUAUUGCACAAUGGGCGCAAGCCUGAUGCAGCCAUGCCGCGUGUGUGAAGAAGGCCUUCGGGUUGUAAAGCACUUUCAGCGGGGAGGAAGGCGUUGAGGUUAAUAACCUUGUCGAUUGACGUUACCCGCAGAAGAAGCACCGGCUAACUCCGUGCCAGCAGCCGCGGUAAUACGGAGGGUGCAAGCGUUAAUCGGAAUUACUGGGCGUAAAGCGCACGCAGGCGGUCUGUCAAGUCGGAUGUGAAAUCCCCGGGCUCAACCUGGGAACUGCAUUCGAAACUGGCAGGCUAGAGUCUUGUAGAGGGGGGUAGAAUUCCAGGUGUAGCGGUGAAAUGCGUAGAGAUCUGGAGGAAUACCGGUGGCGAAGGCGGCCCCCUGGACAAAGACUGACGCUCAGGUGCGAAAGCGUGGGGAGCAAACAGGAUUAGAUACCCUGGUAGUCCACGCCGUAAACGAUGUCGAUUUGGAGGUUGUGCCCUUGAGGCGUGGCUUCCGGAGCUAACGCGUUAAAUCGACCGCCUGGGGAGUACGGCCGCAAGGUUAAAACUCAAAUGAAUUGACGGGGGCCCGCACAAGCGGUGGAGCAUGUGGUUUAAUUCGAUGCAACGCGAAGAACCUUACCUGGUCUUGACAUCCACAGAACUUACCAGAGAUGCAUUGGUGCCUUCGGGAACUGUGAGACAGGUGCUGCAUGGCUGUCGUCAGCUCGUGUUGUGAAAUGUUUG